rnacentral:rRNA from 1 species
UACGUAGGGGGCAAGCGUUGUCCGGAUUUAUUGGGCGUAAAGAGCGUGUAGGCGGCCAGACAGGUCCGUUGUGAAAACUGGAGGCUUAACCUUCAGACGUCGAUGGAAACCGUCUGGCUAGAGUCCGGAAGAGGAGAGUGGAAUUCCUGGUGUAGCGGUGAAAUGCGCAGAUAUCGGGAGGAACACCAAUGGCGAAGGCAGCUCGCUGGGACGUUACUGACGCUGAGACGCGAAAAGCGUGGGGAGCAAACAGGG